UGUUUUGUUUUGUUCGUAGCUCCCGUUCAAACUUUAAACAGAUUGAUUUUACUUUGCUCGCGGUUCAGGAAGUGACGUAGUUUACUGCAGUUAAUUGGCCUUCCCAUCCCCCUGGAGAAAACAACCUUUUGCCGACGGCUUUCAUCCAUAGCUGGACAGUUUUGCGCAAGGCACAGUGAUGGAUUACAAUCAACAAAGGGACCACUUACCAACGGAAGUUGGUGCAAGAAUUAAACGGCGUUGGACCUUGGACAAAACAAGAAAACAUCUAGAUGUGUUAUUGAUGACAUCAACCCAUCAGAAUUUUCCAAUAAUGCUCAUUCAGAUGCUUCCACUGUCCCUGCCAAAAACAAUUUCCAGCACCGUUGAAAUCAGUUGGAAUUGCAGGAGUAGUCGAAAGAACUCUCUCCACUGUCCAACCAACAAGGAGCAAGUUAAGCUCAUCUAGGUACUAAAUUAAAAAAAAAAUCACCUAGUGGCGUUAUCACAACAAGUUUUCUGCCGGAAGUGGGUCGACAAUUCCACGCUCUAAACUGCGAUUCCCGGAAUCUUUCUUUAUUGUGCCUAGAGUGGAUAUAGGAUCAGAAAAAAAGAUGGAUAAAAACGAUGAACAGGAUUGGAACAUCGAUGUAUUUGUCAAUGCUACAAGUCGAUUUCAUGUAGCUCAAAAAUUCAGUUUCAAAUAGCACAAUGUGUAUCAAUACGAAACCUUCCG